rnacentral:lncRNA from 1 species
CUGCGGAAACAAGUUCAAAACUAUGCGGGAGCGAACAACAUUUUUUAAAGCAAAGCGCUUAGUCUCUCUUGUAGCGGUCUGAUCUUUGGAUUGAAGAAUUAUAAGAAACACCGGUAUUUUCCUCCCCCCUUUCUUUUUCUUCUGCAGUGGGUCAAAGUCAUUAUUGUCUCAACCAAGAUUACAGGAAUUGGAUUAACAUUUUCUUUUCCACUCGGGGAUGAAAAAAAUGAGAAAAUUUAUACCUCCAAAAAACGAGAUCUGAGAUACCGUCUGCGAUCCAUGAAAUGAGUUCUCCACUCCUACGAUAGAGUGAAAAAAGGCCCAACAAUUCCCCUUUGCUUAUGC